rnacentral:lncRNA from 1 species
CACUUAUCACAAUUUUUAACAUAUUCUGAGGCGUCUUUUUUCAUAGUUGGCCAGUAGUAUCCAUAUCGUACGAGUUUAAAGGCCAAGGCCUUGGCUCCUUGAUGAUUCCCGCACACACCUUCAUGAACUUCAGCAAGGGCCUGGGAUGAUUCUGAUGGCCUGAGACACCUUAGGUACGGAAGAGUAAUACUUCUGCGAAAAAGGACACCGCUGAUCAUGCAGUACCUAGGAGCUCGGGCUCUGAUGCUUCUGGCCAACCUGGCAUCGCUUGGUAGAUUUCCGUUUGUGAUGAAUUCUAUGAUCGGGUCCAUCCAGGAUGGUUCAUUGUCAAUGUCCAUGAUGUCGAGGAUUUGACUGAUGCUGGGUUCUGUGAUGAUUUUAAUGUGAACCGUUCUGUCAAGGCCGUCUACCC